GUCCUCCCAGGACCGCACCUGGAGAGUUUCCAGCACUCUACCAGUUUCGGUUAUGAGAGGAAAAAUGAAGCAGAGGCCUACCCAUCCCAUUCCCAGCCUGGGCAGUGGCUAGCAAGUGUCAGACAAUCUGCUACAAGU